rnacentral:tRNA from 1 species
CACAGGGUAGAGAAGCGGUCUAUCUCGUCUGGCUCAUAACCAGAAGACCCCAUCGUGGGCAUAGCGCAGGUUCGAAUCCUGCCCCUGUAA